rnacentral:siRNA from 1 species
CCGAAGGUAUCUCGCGCUUGU